rnacentral:rRNA from 1 species
UACGUAGGGCGCAAGCGUUGUCCGGAAUUACUGGGCGUAAAGGGCGCGUAGGCGGACAUCUAAGUCAGGGGUGAAAUCCCAGGGCUCAACCCUGGAAUUGCCUUUGAUACUGGACGUCUCGAGUUCGGGAGAGGUGAGUGGAAUUCCGAGUGUAGAGGUGAAAUUCGUAGAUAUUCGGAGGAACACCAGAAGCGGAGGCGGCUCACUGGCCCGAUACUGACGCUGAGGCGCGAAAGCGUGGGGAGCAAACAGG